rnacentral:rRNA from 1 species
CCUACGGGUGGCAGCAGUCGAGAAUCAUUCACAAUGGGGGAAACCCUGAUGGUGCGACGCCGCGUGGGGGAAUGAAGGUCUUCGGAUUGUAAACCCCUGUCAUGUGGGAGCAAAUUAAAAAGAUAGUACCACACGAGGAAGAGACGGCUAACUCUGUGCCAGCAGCCGCGGUAAUACAGAGGUCUCAAGCGUUGUUCGGAAUCACUGGGCGUAAAGCGUGCGGAGGCUGUUUCGUAAGUCGUGGGUGAAAGGCGCGGGCUCAACCCGCGGACGGCACAUGAUACUGCGAGACUAGAGUAAUGGAGGGGGAACCGGAAUUCUCGGUGUAGCAGUGAAAUGCGUAGAUAUCGAGAGGAACACUCGUGGCGAAGGCGGGUUCCUGGACAUUAACUGACGCUGAGGCACGAAGGCCAGGGGAGCGAAAGGGAUUAGAUACCCUUGUAGUC